GUGGGCCGAUGGCCCACAU
rnacentral:snRNA from 1 species